rnacentral:lncRNA from 10 species
ACAGGUUGACCUGGGACUCUAGUUCAGGGUCUUUCGUUGGCCAUGUCUGAAGGGGCUGGAUGCCGAAGGAGAGAGACGACUUUGCUUUCCAUAGAAUGGUUUGUGCUAUCUGACUCCCACAAGGCACCUUCGUUAACGGGUCCAUCAGUGGGCCUGGAGGCUGGGCAGGGCCCCACCAAGACCGCAUAUGACCUUACUGCAUCAAGGAAGCAUUGGGCCAUGGAACCAUCCAAGUCCUGUUACAUCCCUCAGCAAUCAGUUAAGUCCGCGGAGUAUAAAGUAAAAGGAGGCCCAGUGAGCAUUUGAACAAUCACAAACUUGUUUAGAGAAAGGCAGUAUGAAUUUGGUAAGGGAAGCUAUGUCUAGAAUGCUUCUGGAGAAUCACCGGUGCUAACUUUCUAAUUUUAAAAAAUAUGUUCCUCUUAACCUUCUGACAUAUUUUACCUUUAUCUUCUCACUAUUUAAAAUAUAUAGCAGUUGAAGAACUUCUUGGAAAGAUUUCCAUCAAUAUGUCUCAUUUAUUUUUGUUAUGAUUGGAGAAAAAUACUGUCUGUGGCAGAUACUGUGGAAUGACUUGCUCAAUACCCACUUCAGUCCCCUUCCACUGUGCAAAAGUUGGAAAGCUAAAACUUAAAUGUUCUCAACUCCUUUGUAGUAGAGUUCUGGACGUGAUUUAGAUUCCACAAGUCAGAUGCACUCAUGAGAGACUCUGACUUGGAACUGAGUCAGUGGUGCAAAAGAGAGGAUAUAAGCAUUGUUCUGGUUUUACAGACAGUGACAAGAGUAUCAUGGUUCUAGAGUCAGCAGCUUCUUGAUUCUCCAGCUUUCUGAAGUAGCAGUGGUGGCUCUGGGGAUCCAGGCAGAGUCGGCAGCAUGGGUCUGUAGUUAGUCAAGGUGCCAGGAU